CAGCUCUAGGCGGUGGAUCGCUCGGCUCGUGCGUCGAUGAAGAGCGCAGCCAGCUGCGUGAA
rnacentral:rRNA from 1 species